GCUUACGGCCAUACCAGCCUGNNUACGCCCGAUCUCGUCCGAUCUCGGAAGCUAAGCAGGGUCGGGCCUGGUUAGUACUUGGAUGGGAGACCGCCUCGGAAUACCAGGUGCUGUAAGCCU
rnacentral:rRNA from 1 species